rnacentral:lncRNA from 1 species
UAAAAUUUCAAGAAUAACUUGAUAAAAGUUACUAUUAGUGUGCGUUUGGUUCGCAUUAUGAAAGAUUAUAUCCGAGAAUCUUAUUCCUAUUAUCUUAUUAUUAAGAAUAUGGAAUUCCGGUGUUUGGUUUGCACGGUAAUAUUAAUUAACUAUGUUAUUUAAUAUUACAAAAAAUAUAUAAUUAAUUAAUUAACUUAUUUAUUUAUUUAAUUUUAGAUAAUGUUACAAAAGUUUUAACAUCUUUUUAGAAAAAACGGAGAGAGAGUAUAAGUUAGAGAGAGAAAGCAUAAUUAAAAAAAUAGAAAGAAAAAUAUAGUCGAAACUAGAGGGAGUGAGAGAGUUGAAAUUUUAAAAAGAGAGAGGGAGAGGAAGCUUAGUUUAGAGAGAGAAAAAAAAGUUGAAUUUUAGAGAGAAAAAUAAAUUUAGAGAGAGAUAUAAGGUUAGAGUGUAAAAAAAAAUAAUAUCAAUUCAUUAAUAUGAGGAUAUCCACCCUCCCUCAAGAGAAUGAGAUUAGUACUUUGGGGUGAAUCUUAUUCCCAAGUGAAUCAAUAUUACUAACUAGAUUAUUUAGUGCGUUUAGUACUUUGGGGUGAAUCUUAUUCCCAAGUGAAUUCAAUAUUACCAACUAGAUUACUUAGUGCGUUUAGCCAAACACCGUCAUAUUUUUUAUUCCCAUUGAAUUACUAAAAACCUUUAAAAGAUAGCGCGAACCAAACGCACCCUUAGUAUAAAAAAUAGGUAGUCAAUGAGAUCUGACUUCUCUACCGCUUCUAUUUUGAAUGUUUAUGUUUAUUUUUAUAUAAAGGUGAAAUUACCACUUCUAUUUUGAAUGUUUAUGUUUAUUUUUAUAUAAAGGUGAAAUCAUCGACCGUCCCUAGAGCAAGUGGCAAAGGGCUUGGUGGUUGGUACCCGAAACCCAAGUUCGAAUUUUAGUUGAUUCAAAUUUUUAGCUAAGUUUAUUUCUAAAUAAAAUAAGAGUAAUGCUUCUAUAUUUUUUUUUUUUUUGGUUACCGUUCAUUCACGCGUAUUCAACGGCUCAGAUUUAGUUUUUUUAAAAUUGUGACCUGCAAUAGUAGGUCACUUUGGGAGAGAUACCGGUUACCAGGUACCUCAAAAAAGAAUAUUUUUGUCUUUUAAUAUAUGGGCAAUUUAGCCAUUUUACAUCUAUUAUAUUUUCAAAAUUUUUAUUUUUUUUUUGUUUCCUUUUUUUUUCUCUAUCUUUCCUUUCAUAAUUUGGCAUUUCAUAUAAGAAAAAUUUCAAAUGAUUUGACAAUAUGAUCAUUGAAUUUAAACUUUAAAUAGUAAUAUGAAAUUUCUCUAAUUUAAAUUUCACUUUUAAAUUUAAAAUUUAAUAUUAUAUUCAAAUUUAUAUUUUAAAAAUUUAAGUUUCAUAUAAAUAUUUUGAAAUACGGUAAACAGAAAUAAUUGUUUGAAUUCUAGUCUUCUGGUUUAUGUUUGGUUUUGGGUUUCGAAAAAUUGGUCAGUUUUGAAUUUGGAUAUGGAUUUUUGAAAUCCGUCGAGUUCGGAAAUAAGUUUUGUGAUUGUUAGUCAGAUUCGAAUUCAAAUUCCUAACUAUUUUUUUUCUCACCAAUAAUUCUAAUCUUUUUAAUUUAUAUGUUUAAAAUUAUAUUUAAAAUAUUUAUUAGCUCUAACAGUUAAAUUAUUAUUCUGUUUAAAAUAUUUAUUAUCUUUACCGGUUCCAAAUUGUUCUUAAUGUUAUUCGGUUCAAUAGGUUAAAAUCAGAUUCUUGAUAGAAUAGGUCAAAGUCUGAUCAGUCAAAUCAAUCGGUUCAAUCUAGUUUUUAAAUCAUUGAAUUUAAAAUUUAAAUAGUAAUAUGAAAUUCCUCUAGAGAAAUCUAGUUGUAGAAAUCUUACUCUCUAAGUUUUUUAUGCAUUACGUUUUAAACUGGUGCGAAUAAACUGUAUUUUAAAUCUUGAUAGAAUUUUAGUUUUUAAAUAGUAAUAUGAAAUUCCUCUAAUUUAAAUUUCACUUUUAAAUUUUAAAUAUUUAAUUUUUAAAAUUUAAAUUCAUCGUAUUUAGAAAUAAAACUAUUUCUAAAAUUUCUAUAAUUUAAAUUAAUGCAUAAUUU